UACGUAGGGUGCAAGCGUUGUCCGGAAUUAUUGGGCGUAAAGAGCUCGUAGGCGGUCUGUCGCGUCGGCUGUGAAAACCCGGAGCUCAACCCCGGGCCUGCAGUCGAUACGGGCAGACUAGAGUGCGGUAGGGGAGACUGGAAUUCCUGGUGUAGCGGUGAAAUGCGCAGAUAUCAGGAGGAACACCAAUGGCGAAGGCAGAUCUCUGGGCCGUAACUGACGCUGAGGAGCGAAAGCAUGGGGAGCGAACAGG
rnacentral:rRNA from 1 species